CACCCUUUAAUGUUUGAUGUUCUAACGUUGACCCGUAAUCCGGGUUGCGGACAGUGUCUGGUGGGUAGUUUGACUGGGGCGGUCUCCUCCUAAAGAGUAACGGAGGAGCACGAAGGUUGGCUAAUCCUGGUCGGACAUCAGGAGGUUAGUGCAAUGGCAUAAGCCAGCUUGACUGCGAGCGUGACGGCGCGAGCAGGUGCGAAAGCAGGUCAUAGUGAUCCGGUGGUUCUGAAUGGAAGGGCCAUCGCUCAACGGAUAAAAGGUACUCCGGGGAUAACAGGCUGAUACCGCCCAAGAGUUCAUAUCGACGGCGGUGUUUGGCACCUCGAUGUCGGCUCAUCACAUCCUGGGGCUGAAGUAGGUCCCAAGGGUAUGGCUGUUCGCCAUUUAAAGUGGUACGCGAGCUGGGUUUAGAACGUCGUGAGACAGUUCGGUCCCUAUCUGCCGUGGGCGCUGGAGAACUGAGGGGGGCUGCUCCUAGUACGAGAGGACCGGAGUGGACGCAUCACUGGUGUUCGGGUUGUCAUGCCAAUGGCACUGCCCGGUAGCUAAAUGCGGAAGAGAUAAGUGCUGAAAGCAUCUAAGCACGAAACUUGCCCCGAGAUGAGUUCUCCCUGACUCCUUGAGAGUCCUGAAGGAACGUUGAAGACGACGACGUUGAUAGGCCGGGUGUGUAAGCGCAGCGAUGCGUUGAGCUAACCGGUACUAAUGAACCGUGAGGCUUAACCUUACAACGCCGAAG
rnacentral:rRNA from 1 species